UGGGGAAUAUUGCACAAUGGGCGAAAGCCUGAUGCAGCAACGCCGCGUGAGGGACGACGGCCUUCGGGUUGUAAACCUCUUUUAGCAAGGAAGAAGCGAAAGUGACGGUACUUGCAGAAAAAGCGCCGGCUAACUACGUGCCAGCAGCCGCGGUAAUACGUAGGGCGCAAGCGUUAUCCGGAAUUAUUGGGCGUAAAGAGCUCGUAGGCGGUUUGUCGCGUCUGCUGUGAAAACCCGAGGCUCAACCUCGGGCCUGCAGUGGGUACGGGCAGACUAGAGUGCGGUAGGGGAGAUUGGAACUCCUGGUGUAGCGGUGGAAUGCGCAGAUAUCAGGAAGAACACCGAUGGCGAAGGCAGAUCUCUGGGCCGUAACUGACGCUGAGGAGCGAAAGGGUGGGGAGCAAAACAGGCUUAGAUACCCUGGUAGUCCACCCCGUAAACGUUGGGAACUAGUUGUGGGGUCCAUUCCACGGAUUCCGUGACGCAGCUAACGCAUUAAGUUCCCCGCCUGGGGAGUACGGCCGCAAGGCU
rnacentral:rRNA from 1 species